rnacentral:rRNA from 1 species
GACGAACGCUGGCGGCGUGCUUAACACAUGCAAGUCGAACGGAAAGGCCCUGCUUUUGUGGGGUGCUCGAGUGGCGAACGGGUGAGUAACACGUGAGUAACCUGCCCUUGACUGUGGGAUAACUUCAGGAAACUGGGGCUAAUACCGGAUAGGAGCUCCUGCUGCAUGGUGGGGGUUGGUAAGUUUCGGCGUUUGGGGAUGGACUCGCGGCUUAUCAGCUUGUUGGUGGGGUAGUGGCUUACCAAGGCUUUGACGGGUAGCCGACCUGAGAGGGUGACCGGCCACAUUGGGACUGAGAUACGGCCCAGACUCCUACGGGAGGCAGCAGUGGAGAGUAUUGCACAAUGGGCGGAAGCCUGAUGCAGCAACGCCGCGUGCGGGAUGACGGCCUUCGGGUUGUAAACCGCUUUCGCCUGUGACGAAGCGUGAGUGACGGUAAUGGGUAAAGAAGCACCGGCUAACUACGUG